AAGUCGUAACAAGGUUUCCGUAGGUGAACCUGCGGAAGGAUCAUUACCGAGUGAGGGCCCUCUGGGUCCAACCUCCCACCCGUGUUUAUUAUACCUUGUUGCUUUGGCGGGCCCGCCUCACGGCCGCCGGGGGGCUUCUGCCCCCGGGCCCGUGCCCGCCGAAGACACCUUAGAACUCUGUCUGAAGAUUGUAGUCUGAGUAAAAAUAUAAAUUAUUUAAAACUUUCAACAACGGAUCUCUUGGUUCCG
rnacentral:misc_RNA from 1 species